AAAAAUCAUAGUUUUACAUUGUUUACGUUCAAUGUUUGACUGUCCAUCUAAUUUUUUAAAAAUAUGAUUAGUAUUUUUAUUGUUAUUAGAUGAAAAACAUGAAUAAUACUUUAUGUAUGAUUUUUUUAAAAGAAAUAUAAAUGUUUGAAAUAGGACGGACAGUCAAACGUUAGACACGUAAACCCACAAUUACACUUAAA
rnacentral:pre_miRNA from 1 species